rfam:Candidatus Scalindua brodae SCABRO_contig000033, whole genome shotgun sequence.
CCGUGCUAGACGGGGAGCUAGCGGUUCCUUGUAACCUGCAAACCGCUUAUGCAGGGUCGAUCGCUUUUUGGAGGUUUUUCUGACUUUUGGUACUUUUUAAGUAAGUGGUGUUGAAGGCUGGGUCUCAUGCAAUGGGGCUAUGUGAAUCUGGUCAGAUGCGGAAGCAAGCAGCCAUAAGCAUUUGUACUCAUGUGCCGUGGGGUUGCCUGGUUGGAGCUAACUGCCUGGAAAGUUCAGCGGAAAGAGAAUCGAAGAAAAGUGCACGG